UGUUUCUGUGCUGUAAUUGUACUGAGGCUAAAAGACUACACAGGGAGGGAAUGGCUUGCAUGAGAUUUCCCAAGGAUUUGUUGGGACAUCUGCAUGAGAUAUUUGAUAAUGGGGAAAAUAAUCAUAGGUAUAGAGAUGCAAGAGUUUGCAAAUGCUGGAACUUGGAGCAACAAAUAUAUUGCUGGAGGAAAUUGGUGGGUCGGGCAACAUCUGUGGAGAAAAAUGGAUAAUUCAUGUUUUGGAUUCAUUUGAAUUUUGGAGCGAGAGGAACGAUGAUUCAUUGAAUCAUUCAAUUAUUGAAUUAAAUCAUUGAGAGGAUAAUGCUAAGAUUUGUUACCUUUAUCAUCUGCGGAUGCCUUCACGUUCUACCAUUCUCACCUCCAAACAGUUCUGAAGGUUGUUGGUUUCAUGUCACUGAAUUGGAAUUUACUGCUAUAUUUUCUAAACAGUAAAUAUACCAUACCUUGCUUCUUUGGAGUUAAUUUGUUUUUAUUCCAUUGAGUUUUAUAAUUUAGUUAAUUUUAUACAUUUCUACAAAUGUAUUCACUGAUAAUCCUAUUAUUAUUUGCAAAACUCUGAAAGUAAAUUUAGUGCAGGAUGAAGCAGUUUUUUUAAUACUUACUGAGAGUGAAAGUGUGCAAUUGUUGCUAUGGUUUGUGCAGCAGCUUCACUCCCACUGAGCAGUAUUAGUAAACUCAGCGAUUUGCAACUAUCUCCACUUUUUGAGCAUGUUGUGGGUGAUUAUGCAGGGAGCAAUAUAUGCUAAAAACGACAAGGGUGAGCUCUCUGUUUCAAUAUGAUGUGAUUAUUGAAAAGACUGGUUUUGUGCUGAUUAGCUGAGAUAAAUGGACAUGACUAGUUGACAUGAAGUGUCAAGAGGAAUGCAAAUCUACGAGAUAGUGUGUCCCCUGAUGCGAUAUUAAAACCUUUCCCAUUAAAAUCAACUUGUCCAGUAAGGUUUGAGUAUUUAGUGAUUCAUUUAUGUUAUCCUUAAUGUUAAGAAUUAGAUUACUUGAAAGGAGCCAAAUUGUCCAAAGACAAGGCAAUAUUUCAACUGCUCUUUCUAGCAUUUCCAUUAAAAAUGCAAAUUACAAAUUGAUGUUUGUAGCAAAUUAUCACAAGGGAUCAGCCAUUUGAAAAAGUAUAAUGGAAAAUAACUGCUUUGGUAGACUAACUUUCGAGCUUGCAAAGUGAUAACAGCAGCAAAAACCGUAAAAGGGUGUAGGCGUGGAUGCUUGUCUGUUGUAGGGUGCUUCUGUAUCACGUUUAAAAAAAAAAAAGAAUGGAAAAUUUACAGAGCAGUUAAUAAUUCUUGUGAGAUGUUUGCUGUGCCUUGCUGCACUAAAAAUCGACAGUAGUUUCCAAAGAAAAGUGUUACUUUGCUUUUUGUAGUUGUAGAAGAAAUGGACAUAAUGUCUUAAGAAUUUUAUGUUUAGCAAUUUCUUCUGAGAUUUUUUUCUCAAUAGUCCUUAAUCUCAAUAAUUGUUUACUUACUUAUAUUUUGAUCCUCAUUUACUAAUUCUAUGCAAUAUUUUUUCCAUCUGAUUGCUUCACCUCAAUAAUUAAAAAAAAAACAUAAUCCUAUUGAUGACGCUUGGUUUCAUUACUUCACAUGCUUAAAAACAAUUAAGAAAAUCAAAUGCAUAAAAACCUAUCUCCCCAGAAGACAAAUCAUGAAUUCUAUCUUUUGGGACUAAAUAUUCCUGUGGAAAAUAUGACAAUUGUAUCCAGCCUUUUAAAAUUUAAGUUGGAAACUAUUUUAAUCAUGAAUUCUACCUUUAAGGACUAAAUGUUCCUGUGGAAAGUAUAAUAAUUGUUUUCAGCCUUUUAAAAUUUAAUUUGGAAAUAUAAUGUUCCUGAAUGGGGCGUAAAUCCCUAUUCAAUUAGAACAUUUAUAUUUUUUGGAAGCAAACUGAUUCAACAUUACAUUUCUGAGAAAAAAAUACUUUACAUGGGCAAUGCAAUAGGUUAAAAAAAAGACAACAAAAUCACAUAAAUGCAGAUGCUGGAUAUCUGAAAUAUAAACAGAAAGUG